CCGUGCACCUUUACUAUAGCUUUGCAUUGCUAACGGAUAAUGGACGUGUAGGAUAGGUGGGAGACGUUGAAGGGUCCUCGCUAGGGGAUUUGGAGUCAUUGGUGAAAUACCACCCUUCCUUUAUUUGUUACCUAACCCCACAUAGUGGGGAACAGUGCAUGGUGGGUAGUUUGACUGGGGUGGUCGCCUCCUAAAGAGUAACGGAGGCUUUCAAAGGUGUCCUCAGCAUGGUUGGUAAUCAUGCGUGGAGUGCAAUGGCAUAAGGACGCUUGACUGUGAGACUGACACGUCGAACAGGCAGGAAACUGGGACAUAGUGAUCCGGUGGUUCCGCAUGGAAGGGCCAUCGCUCAAAGGAUAAAAGGUACGCCGGGGAUAACAGGCUGAUCUCCCCCAAGAGCUCAUAUCGACGGGGAGGUUUGGCACCUCGAUGUCGGCUCAUCGCAUCCUGGGGCUGGAGAAGGUCCCAAGGGUUUGGCUGUUCGCCAAUUAAAGCGGUACGCGAGCUGGGUUUAGAACGUCGUGAGACAGUUCGGUCCCUAUCCGUUGUGGGUGUUAGAGAUUUGAGGGGAGCUGCUCCUAGUACGAGAGGACCGGAGUGGACAGACCUCUAGUGUGCUGGUUGUGUCGCCAGAUGCAUUGCCAGGUAGCUAUGUCAGGAAAGGAUAACCGCUGAAAGCAUCUAAGCAGGAAGCCAACCCCAAAACAAGAUCUCUCUUUUCCCUUCGGGGAAACAGUAGACUCCUUGAAGACUACAAGGUCGAUAGGCCGGGUGUGUAAGCGCAGUAAUGUGUUCAGCUAACCGGUACUAAUCAGUCGUGAGGCUUGACCUUUAA
rnacentral:rRNA from 1 species